ensembl:lncRNA
GUGGAUGUGUUUAUGACUCGUUAUUACGACGAAUCUGAGAAGAACCACAGAAUUCCUAGGAACUUAUGGAGAAGAGAACGAUCACGAGGCCCAGCAGUCAGCAUUUCAGCGUUCUGGUCUACGUCACAGGAGAGAAGACAGAUAGAGACAUGUGAACGCCCACACAUUUCACCUCUUGACCUGGCAUUCUAGUCUGAUAUUGUAAUACAACAGAUGUGGGGUGAUAAACAACAGGAUAAGUAGGUGGAAACAGCGUGAGAGGUAAAGUUUAAAUAAUGUAAAAUUCAUACUGCAGUGGCCCUACACCAACAUAUGGUAAAUUGCUUUUCCAUUUUUGUUGGCGAUACAAUAGUUAUGAUAGUUAUGAUCUUGACCUUUGAACAUCAAACUUUCAUUCCAGUUCACUCUAAUGCUAAAGCACCUGCAGCACAACUGGCCUUCUGUAUCCAGGAUGAUCUUGUAACUGUUAAUUUUCUUUCAGCUCCAUGAAUUCACUCUGACCUCAAAUCUGUUCAAAGGCAGGGAUUGCAUUACUAGCAUCAUUAGAAUUUUUAUAUCUGAAAUAUGCUCAUAUUUUUCAGUACAGUUAUAUCUUUAGCUGCUAUCUUAAACGACUGUUGUUGUCUUUUGCAAGCAAAACAGGCAAUGAGAUGAGGAAGUAAUUGUGACUGAUCAAACAAAUAUGAAAAUAAGAAAAGCUCACUGGUUUAGCCUAAUUUGGAUGCCUGCUAUUUUCCAUUUCUGUGGGUCAGGGCAUCAGACCAAACCUCUUUUUGCUUUAUGAACAUCUGGUUGGAGGCAUCUAAUAAGCCUGGAUCAGUGUAAGGAAUAGCAUAAAUCUGUGAGCAGACAGCCGAACAAGAGAGAUCUCUCCACCCCAUUCUAAUCUUCACAAUUUGCCGUGGCUGAUAAAAUUUUAAUGAGGAAUAAACAUAAUGGGGGCCCCUGAAAGAUUACCAUAAACAGAGGGAUAACUGCUCAGCUGUGCUCCAACAGCGCCGAGCACACGCAAGAGAGAGGUAUCAAAGAAACUUGCCAAACAAAUCAUCUGACCGUAGCCAAAUGGCCCAGUGUCCACAAAUCAAUAUUGACUUUUGGUGUGCACUUUAAAAAGGUUCAGGGGCUUGGAUAUGAAUUGUUCAGAUUCACAGCUGGACCAAAACUGCAGAUAGGGGUCUUGGCAGUUCAGCAGUUCUCAUAAACUGUUUUACAUAAAUUGUACCUUCCUUGUUGUUAAAAUCAUCCACGCAUCUUCAUUUUCUUGUUUCCAUUUCUUCUUUUCAUUUAGUUUUCCCUUUGUUCUCUGUAGCUAAUGAUUAAAUGCUCAUUAAUAUUUGUAAAAUAGCCUGCAAACAAGCGCAAGGCCUUGCUAACUAGCAUUUUUUAAUGAUGGUUAGAGUUAAGUGUGGUUAAAAUAAAGGAGAAUGGGGAGUGGGCGAUGCAGUGAGCCAUAACACUAUCAGUUUAACCAAUUAGAAAUUAGCUGCUGGGAUAACAUCUAAGGAUGCACUUAUCUUAAAAAAAAAAAACAAAAAAAAAACAAAGGUGAUGGUUAUUUCCAUGCCAUGACUGAUGUUAAAACUGUAUAAUGGUUUGUCUAGAAUUAAUUAAUAAAACUUUAAAUUGUGAACUUAAUUUAGGCAUCACAACAUUUUAAUGUGCAUAAUGACAAGUAUAUAUUUAGUGUAUAUAUAUAUAUAUAUAUAUAUAUAUAUAUAUAUAUAUAUAUAUAUAUAUAUAUAUAUAUAUAUAUAUAUAUAUAUAUAUAUAUAUAUAUAUAUAUAUAUAUAUAUUUAUAUAAGAUUACCUUUUUGAGUGUUAAAUGUUGGAAAAUGUAAUUAAAAUGUAAAAACUGUGGACAUUAAUAUUUAAAUAUUGCACAAUUGAAUAUCCAAUAUCCACUAAAUUAAAGAAAAAAAUAUAACCGAUAAUCACCGUGCUAAUAUUCACUAUUUUUCAAAGUUUCACUAAGUCUGC